UGUCAUAGUGCUUUGAGUUUUCUGACUCAGAUGAAUGCCAAAGGCCUUCUGCGCCUGUGUCAUAUCCUUAUGUCAGCAAAUGACUGGCAAUUUCUGUGUAGCCUGACAAACAUUUGAAAAAGCACAGUGUGAAAAUGCAUUUCAGAUGUCUCCUCCAAAUUUUUAUUACCAGACCUGAAAAUAAAACAGCUCCAAUGGCACCAACUACCGAAAAAUAAAAUGAACCAAAGUUACCACUCGCCCAGACUGGUGAUGAUCGCAGCUCCUCUCCCUCAUCACAGCUCUGCAGCUGUUUGUUGUCAGAGUGGAAAGUACAAGCCCUGGCAUUUCUCCUCUCUGCCGUACUCUGGAUGGUUGCUCAGCACAUCGAGGAACUGGGCAGAUUUUCAGAAGAAACCUAUCUGAUGUGCUGUCAGCCUCACUGUCUGUUAAGCCCAACAGCUAUCUACCUGGUGCCUUCCAGGGUCCAGUUCCUGUGUAUCUCAAACCCUGUAUGUAGGGAUCAAACAACACUGUACUCCUUAUCCAUAAGGAGAGAAAAAACACCGUUCCAUAUUUAAACCUGUUGGGCAUAUAAGACACAGAGACAUUUCUUGCCCUCCUCCAGGCAGCUCCCUAUGUAGCUGUGCUGAGAAGCAUACAGGUUACGCAGCAAGGGACUGCAGCAUGAAGUUAAGCUGCAAAAGGGAUGUGAACACAAAUUACCAUUAACAGCCAGUAGCAAUUACCUAUGUAUUACAGCUUGCAUAUAUACAUGAAAAUUCAUACUCCAGAUAUAUACCAAUAUGCAAGCAUGUAAGUUUGGGGAACACAUUUCAUCCUCUCUCACAUAACAGGAGGUAUUUUUGGUGCAGUUUUCUGAAAGCUAAGCAAAGGGUGUAAAGCAAAGAAGCUACAGAAGUUGGCAUUAUUUCCACUUAAUCAGUAAGAAAUCAUUACAGCUUUGCUAUGAAAAUGAAACAACUAUAGUCAUACAAGAUACAUCAUGACACAGAAAAAUUAGAAAACACUCUAAGCUCUGCACAGCAAGAUUUGUAAGCCUGCCAGCAGAAUCACAAACUCACACAGCUCUAAUUUGUCUAGGAAAAAAGGGGUGUUUAAUUGCUGUGCAUAAUAAACACGCAGACAUCAGAGAGCAGCCAUGGAUAACAUGCACAAGUAGAUUCCAGCUGUAUCGCUAAGGAAAUAUAAAAGUGAUUUAUUUUAUAUCUUGAUGCUAAAUCCAAUAAAUCACAUUAAAAUAAAAUGACCAAAUUUCCCUAAGUGCUCAGCACUCAGCAGCUCUUGCUGGCCUCACUACUGAGCUCUCUUGGAGAUGCAGUCAUUUCAUUUAGGUAUCUGCAGGGUAUGGUGCCAUGCAGCUUUACCUGAGCUGUGAUGGGCUCUGCAACGUUCAAUUAGCCCAUACAAAGCUGAGCACUAAUGUAGUCCUCGCACUCCUAGCACCUGAACUAGUUUAUUGAGAGCUAACUGGUCAGUCUUAUCUCCACUCCAUGUGCAAAUCCUCCAAGCAUCAGAUGAUUGCUUUCAAAAGCCUGUCCAGUUUGCAUUGCUUAAUUACAGCCUCUGGGGGUUAGCCCUUGUAUAAAUAUCUAGUCAGAAAUUCAUCUUUGUUCUGCUUCUAGCUACAGCCAGUAAAGAUCACCAGAUGCCUGAUGUGUACAUGAAUUGGAUUAUUAUAACAUUAUGUUUAUAUCUCAGAGUUUAUUUCUUUUCACCAAAGAGUGAGUUGAGAGAACACAAUAGAGCCAUCAUACCAGAAAGGAUAUGAACUAUGAAGUACCAUAAAUUUUGGUAUGGGAAGGUCACUAAUUAAUCUGCAACUACCCUAGCAUCCAUAUUCAUAUUCUUUUCUCUAGAUGAUUUUUUUUAUUGAUAGCUGGAGAGGAAAAGACAUGUUCAUGAAAACAAGGGAGGCAAGGAAGAAUUUUUCUUUAGCUGGGGUGCUCCCCAAGUCACAAUUUAGCCUACUGCAACUGUCUGCCUCAGUGAACUCUUUAGGGUUUCUUGUAUGCAAAGCAAGUUACUAUCUACUUUGCAAGCAAUUUUUUUUUUCUCUAAUCAUUUAACUUUACUUGCCUGAAGUUGUCUAAGACUUUAUUGAGUUUAAUUCAGAAUUUACAAAUCUUGUCAAGGUGUUGAUAUUUUCUCCUUGACAAAGACAAAUUUUAAUUUAAUAAUCAGUUCUUUUUUACCUUGCCUUCUCUGCUAUAUUGGCUGUAAGACAAAAACAAAAAGUUUUCAUUCCCAUACUGAGCUUACAAAUCACUAUCAAUGUCUUGAGCAGUAGAUGACAAACCGCUGUUACAGAGUUUUCUUUGAAGCUUUAGACACCUCUGGAUUUAUCACUUGUCACAGAAAUCUGAACAUUCUCACUAUCUGCAAAUACCCUUUCUUUACUUCAGAGGAUUUCUUACAGUAAAGUCAACGCAAAAAUUCUGUCUGCAAUUCCCAUAAAAGUAAUAGGGCAAUCAAUAAAGUUGAUUUUCAUGUGAUUGUUUUUUAUACUUCUUUAAAGAAUAGGAUUUAUGUGAGAAUUGGACUAGUGUUUACCUGAUUCAGGAAGGAAAUUGCUGACUUGCAAGGUCUCUU